UACGUAGGUGGCGAGCGUUGUCCGGAAUCACUGGGCGUAAAGAGCGUGUAGGCGGCUCGGUAAGUCCGCUGUGAAAGUCCAGGGCUCAACCCUGGAAUGCCAGUGGAAACUGUCGAGCUAGAGUCCGGAAGAGGCGAGUGGAAUUCCUGGUGUAGCGGUGAAAUGCGCAGAUAUCAGGAGGAACACCAAUGGCGAAGGCAGCUCGCUGGGACGGUACUGACGCUGAGACGCGAAAGCGUGGGGAGCAAACAGG
rnacentral:rRNA from 1 species